AAAAAGUGCAUUUCUACCCUGUUUGGUUUGUGUUCGACAUUUCACCGUCCGUCUUAUUUUAAAAAGAUUUAUGAUUAUUAUUCUUAUGGUUACUAGAUAAUAAAACUAGAAUAGAAUUUUAUGUGUGACUAUUUUUUAAAAGUUUCUUUGUGAAUUUUUGUACUAAGAUGAACAGUCAAACGUUGGACAUAAAAAUCUAUAAAUACAGUUAAA
rnacentral:pre_miRNA from 1 species